GAUGAAGAACGUAGCGAAAUGCGAUAAGUAAUGUGAAUUGCAGAAUUCAGUGAAUCAUCGAAUCUUUGAACGCACAUUGCGCCCCCUGGUAUUCCGGGGGCAUGCCUGUCCGAGCGUCAUUUCAACCCUCAAACCCCCGGGUUUGGUGUUGGGGAUCGGCUCUGCCUCACGGCGGUGCCGCCCCCGAAAUACAUUGGCGGUCUCGCUGCAGCCUCCAUUGCGUAGUAGCUAACACCUCGCAACUGGAACGCGGCGCGGCCAUGCCGUAAAACCCCAACUUCUGAAUGUUGACCUCGGAUCAGGUAGGAAUACCCGCUGAACUUAAGCAUAUCAAUAAGCGGAGGA
rnacentral:misc_RNA from 1 species